GGAGGGAGAAGGGUGAAAGGGGUGUUUAGGCACGGCACACGUGUGUGGUAAUGGAUGGUAAUUAGUCUUUGGGUGGUGAAUAUGUUGUAAUCUGCACAGAAAUUGAAAUUUAUAAUGAUGUACAUUUGAAAUUUAUAUAACGUUAUAAACUACUGUUACUGCAAUAAAGAAAGAAUUUUUAAAAAAAAGUGUUAAGUGCCCUAAAAGUAAUAGAUAGUGUGACAUAUGGGAUCAGAGGAGAGAAGGGAUCUGUAGUAACAGGAAGGCUGGGGCUGAGAUGGAUCAAAGGUCCUUUUUGAGAUGGGUCUUAAAGGAUAGGUAGAAAUGGAGAGUGGGGGUGAAGUGAGGAAGGCUCAGCUUUUUCUCCAUUUUUGGGCAGAUGAAUCACCUGCUGUAAAAGAAAAAGGAAAUGUGAAACAGAGGCAUGUAGAAGGGAGGAGUCAGUGUGGCUGGAAUGUAGGAAAAUAAAGGAAGGAAAGUUGGGAAACAAGGGCAGGUCCAGGUUGUGAAGGGCCUGGGAACACCAGAGUAGGAAUGUUCUAGAACAAUGUCUCAAGGUGUGUCCACAGGAUGUUCAUAGUUUUUACGUAACAAGGGAUCUCAUCAACUAUGCUGGAGAAACAUUGAAUUAAAAACAAAGAUUUCUAUAUCACAGUUUUCAGAGCUUUGAAAAUGCUAAUGUACACUGAAUUUCCACGAGGGACCUGUAGUUUGCAAAAACCCCAAACUUCAUGAUCAUAAACAUGUUUUUCUUGGAGCUUCUCAUGAGAUUGGCAUUCUGCAGGAGCUUUAUGAAAGCCAUAGAGAGGGGCAAUACCCACAGGGGACACACUUAACAUUACCUGCUAAUAGACCGACCGGCUGAUCUUCUAGGAACCUGCACUAUUGUUGCAGGAAUAGGGAGAAAAUUAUUUGCCCCAAAGAAGGCAUGAACCCCCUUCCCUCUCUGUUUCCCCCUCCGCUUUAUUAUUAUAAGGAUCUGCCGAGCUUUUUCAGCCAGGCCCAGUUGCACUGCUCUCUUUCCUGGAGCUCAGUUCCCGCCCUGAUAAAAAUUUGCCUUGUUUCAGGGCUCAAAUGGAGUCCUGUUUUGAAUCUCCCAUCUGUCAUCCCGGAUCCCAGACGUGCUGCCUGCCUUGCCCUCGGCUGCCUGAUGCCCCUUGACCCCUCUCCAGACCUCCUGGACUCUUUCUUUGCCACUGCUCUGACCUCCACAUACUUUGAGUGCUUCUGGUCCUCCUGGUAAAUCUCGAGAUGUCCUGUCUCCAGCUGCUCACAGCUCUGGGGUGACUGUGACUGUGGCUCUGGCUCCUGCCAGUUGCUCAGAGAUGAGGCACCUGUGUGCUGCGUUUUGGGGAGCUGGGCUUCUACAUGCUUCUGCCACAAGUGGGAACACUUGUAGUGGCUUCCAGGUGAGAUUCCAUAAUUCUGCUUGGGAGGGAUGAGCAAGCAGCCUCUAAAUUUAACAUCAUUUAAUUAUCCCCUGUGGAGGGGAAAAUCUUAGCAGUGACAUGUUUAGAGCUGCACUUCCAAGAAGCUUCAGUUGAUUGGGCAAAAUUAGGUGGGAUCACAGAACAAUCUAGAAGAGGGAGUGAAAUCUCUUAAGUUUUUAGAGAUCACUGGCCUCUGUUGGGUGUUCAACAGGAAGCGAACUGUGGUGAGAUUAAAUGAGGCUAGGUGAGUGGGCAAAGCCUUGGCAGAUAAACUUUGUGGGAAUAAGAGGAUGACAGGGAGGAAAAGUACAAACUACGGAAGAUGAGAUGCCGCCAUUAUGAAUCAGCUCUUGUGACCCAGAAAAAGGACUUGGGAUUCAUUGCAAGAGUGUGCAGCAAAGACAGGCCCCCAAAGACCUACCAAUUUUUAGAAAUCGUUAGGAAGAAUAAGGAACAAAAAUACAAAGAAAAUAUUACCUUACUGUUUAUAAGGAAUGUGCUGUUCUGGUUGAUGUAUUACCAGAAAGAAAUUUCAAGUGAUCAAGGGACUGGAGGUGCUUCUGUACGAGGCCAGAGCGGAGGCUGGAAGCUGACGGGAUAUGCUACAGUCUAGAAAAUUAGGAAAGGUACAAAUAAUGUGAACAUUGACCCGACUGAAACCCACUUAUUAGAAGUAGGAGGUAUCCUGAGAUAGUCUCAAAAUUUCAAGCAAGUGAAAAAUGGUUGCUAAAUGUAUGGAACUCAUUACCCUCCAAGAGGUAGCCUAGGCUGAAAAUAGAAAUAGCUUCAAAACUGCUUACAUAAUGCGUGGUCGCUGGAACUAUUAUAGGUUACUGAGGGAAAUCUGAUUGUUGCAGAUAAUAGGGAGGCCGACUGCAUCUUCCUAACACACAGCCUUAUAGCCUCAGUGGAAAAGAUCAUGGCUUAGACUACACGUGCCAAUCUUACUUAAAAAAAAAAAGGGAAGAUUGCCUAUACGAAUGUGUAUAUUGUCAUAUUAUUAGGUGCCUACCUAAUAUUAGGCACCUGGCUAGGUACUUUUACAUACAUUAUCCUUAAUUCUUACAAUAAUACCACAAGAAUAAUAAUUAUCCCCAUUUCAUGGAUGAGAAGCUGCUCAGAUAGUUUAAGUAACUAUUCAAGGUCACACAGCCAGUAAACGGAGGAGCUGGGACCUAAAGCCCAGGUGUAUUCUUAAUGGCAAUACUGCUCUCAUCUCACCUGUUUGUUUUUCUGUCCUUCAUACCUAAAUUUAGUCUAAGACUACCAGCCAAAAUUCCAAAAAUGGUGCUUUUGUCCUUUGCUCAUUGCUUAAAAAAAUGGCCUCCGUCAUCGUAGGACCAUUGAGUGCAUUUAUUCAUAUUCCUCUAAAGUUCAAAGUACGCAGCCGGAGAGAGGGGACAAUUAGGGUCCUGGGGCUGAGACAAGAAGAGGACUGGGAGGCCUAAGAGGGGUCAGGCAUUUUACAUGCUGUCCCAUGGAAUUCUCAUGACACCCAUUUUAAUUUCCAUUUUUGAGCUGAGAAGAUGGCAUCUCAGAGCAAUUAUGUAAAGUGCCUAAGAGUCCACAGCGCACGGGCAGUAGACCCAGCAGUGACACCAAAUCUAACGCCAAAGCUGCCUGCCUGGAAGGGGGAGAGACAUUCCGUCUCUGUCCUCUUUCCUUAUAGGAAGACAACCUCAGGGGUUACCUCCACGGCCACCAACUCCAGAGGGCUGUCUGCUCUACACCUCUGCUCAGUCCACUUCUGGCAGGAGCGGAGGACUUCCAUGCCAUACAGAAAGUCUCGCUGGAAUUGUGUCUGUUGAAGAACCCCACAUCCUAGCACAGAUUUGGAAGGCUGGAUUCCUUGCUGGCAGCAGUAGGCUCAUCAGAACAGGAGGUCCAGGAAAUGCUGUGGGAUAGAUUAGGUAAGAAGUGCUGCCAACUGAAGACCAGUCAGAAAUGAAGAUGAAGCAUCUCUGAAAUGGUCAUGCAGCUGCCUCUCAAAAUCCAGGUGAGAGAAUGCCACACACCACACAGGUAUUGAUGGGCUCACACAUCUCCAUCAGCCCUGUCCUUGGAGAGAGGCUGAGCACUAAGGACAAGUUUGGCCUGGUGACUGAAGAUACUCUGUGGUUGGCCUUACGGGUCAGUUUAUCCUUCUGGAAAGCUGUCCCUAGAGGUUUGGGUGUGACAGCUCCUGCCUUCAUUCCCUCAGCCUUGAUUACAGUGGUGGUAGGGAUCAAAUGCCCAGGAUUUUCCAGUCUGCCUGUUGCCAAUAUGAGUGCUUGCCUAUUACCCAAGGGUCCUCAUGAGACACCUCUGGCCGGCAGCCCAAGUGCCGUGGGGGUAGUAAUAAACUCUUACUGCUUUGUAAGUGCAGCCUUCAGCACAGACCCUGGCCAAAAGCGUCUGAUUCUUAUCAGAGGCUGAAGGACAGGUUUUGCUGGAGUUUCUAUGCCCAAACUUGAAAAGCAAGUUCAUCUGCCCCUUUGCUCUGCAAACAUGGGGUUCCAUCUUAUUCUUGAGAAAAGGCCAAACACUCCGCCUCCAUAAUGACUCUAGAGAUCACUGUGUGGCCUAGUGACCACUGGCUGCUGGUCACUGGAGCAAGGCUGACCAACUGUGACACUUUGCCUGGGACUGAGAGGUCUCCUGGGACUUGGGAUGUUCAAUGCUAAAACCGGGGAAGUCCCAAGCAAUCCGGGAUGAGUUGAUCACUUUAACCAGAACUGAUCCUUGUCCUCUUAGACCAGCUCCUCAGCAUCCACACGAUGUACAACUCAGCCAAAAUCCAUGGUGGAAGGACAAAGAAAGAGCUGGAUCUGGAACAACCGAGGCCCCGCUGUUCUUUGCCUUGUUUAGGACUCUCACUGUGUUCAGAACCCUCGUAGACAUAGGGUAGUCUUCGUCCUCCUAGACUUGGCAAGGGAAGGAGAGAGGAGGAACAGGGAUUGUCAUCCCCACAUGCCUGGACAGUAUUCUAAGUCCCUUCCAAAAUGGAAUGUUGAUAGUUAUUUGUAGGUUGAGAAAUGUAUGACUAGUACAGAAUUGGGCCAGGGACCUGGAACAUCGAAACCUUCCUUCCAUCAUCCACUCCUUCCUGUAAGGUCGUGAGGGAAUCUAUACUCGCUGAGGACAAAGUCAGGCAAAGGGACAGUUUUUCUAGCUGGUGCUUUGGCCCCAAGCCCUAUCGUCAAACUCCAGUGACCUGGCCUGGGUCACUGAAAGGGCUCGCUCUGGCUGACUCAGAACCAAAGCACAAAUCCGAACCUCAGGUCAAACCACUCCAACGGGAGGAACAGCCAAGCCAGGAAAGCCACCAGUGAGCAGGGCUGAAGAAAAAGGAUGAGACACACGCGCAAGAGAGUAUUCAGCCCAAUGACCAAAGCCAGGUGCGUCUCCUGGCCAGGGCGUCGGGGAAUACCCGUUAAGCCAGACAUCACAGACCCCUCCCAGCCCACAACCCUCUGGAAGCACUGGCAUCCAAAAAGAGAGAGUGCCUGGGUCUUUAUUAUGCUUUACUGUGCUUUAUUUUCCUGGAAACCUUACAGGCACAGUAUCUAAACAGACUAUGCAUGUGCUUUGGGACCUUUACCUAUUUGAAAAGCUCUAUGUCUGUAGCCCAUUAAAAUGUCCUGAUUUGACCAAUUCAUUGGAGCUUGCAUCCUUUUGGGGGAUGCGAGUCUCCUCUGCCUUGGAAGCCACUAUUGUGUAAGUAGCCACAGGCCUGGUAGUCAAGAGACCUGAGCUUUAGUAUUUUUAAAGAUAUCUGUGAUUGACUUGAGGCAAAACAUUUAACUUCUCAGUUUCCUCACCUGUAAAAUUGAUUGGACUAAACAUUUGGGCCUAAGAUUUCUUCCAGCUUUAUGAUUCAUCUCUCUCUCUCUUACACACACACACACUCUUAUUCUGUUUUAUUUCUGGAUAUUAACUCUGAAUGCCAUGCUGAGCCAUAUUAGAGGCUGAGGCAAAAGGAAAAAAUCAGUAAUACUGGUCCUCUUUUAUUUAAAAUAUGGAUAUUUUGUUCAUCAUGAAUUUGUUGCAUUAAUUUGGAUUUUUAAAAUAGUGCAUUAAAAUAUUAAUCUUGAUUGCUGAAUUUUUGGUGGCCCCUUAAAUUGUGUGCCCAAAGCAAGUGUCUCAUUUCAUGCUGGUCCCAGCCCUGUUAGCACCUCUCUACAUCUGGGUGAGCUGCAAGAUGAACGAAGAAGGGACUGCCACAGACAGGCAGAGAGAAGAGACUAAAUGCCACCCACUUUACAAAGUUACCUAGAGCCAGCCAUAGUGGUUUGAUGGACGGAUGGAUAAUUUUAUUAUCUGUCACCACCUAUAAUUUCUAGUUGUUUUUAUUGUGUUUGUUUUGUUUCCCCAGACUCAUAAUUUUGAGUCUGGGGACCCUCUGGGGUUUUUUUGUUGUUGUUUUUUUAAUCUCAGCCUCCACACAACAAAUGCCCAGUGCAGAGUUAAGCACUGAAUUGUUAGAACGAAACGGUAGGACACACACCAGAUUCUAGAUUUCACACUCACCCUUCUCUUGACCUUGCAGAAGACACUACUUAUCAUUAAAAUAACUUUUUAAAGUUCAGACAAUAAAAACACAGCUGGGAAACCAGCAAAGUGAAACAGUUGUUUUGGCACAGUGUUACCGGAUGAUGAAAAGGAAAUUUGGGUUUCAUUCCUCGCUUUUGCCUUUCAGAGUCAAAAGGAGCAGAGGCAGGUAAGACUUAGACAAAUAAGCCUCAUAAGACCAAGAGGAUUCGAGAACCUCUGCACUCUGAGGAGGGUCACCAUUCCUUGACCUAACAAACCAAGGGCUGCUGGUUACCCCCAGGCUUGUUGCAGGAUCUGAAGGAGCAUGUCUUCAAAUCGCACUAACCUGGGCUCAGGAGGGAGAGCAAAGGACGGAGUACUGAAAUAACUUAUCUGUGAAAUGUCUCCAUUAGAGGACUUUUCAAAGGAAUUUUCCUUCCUUCAAUUAGAUACAUUAAUAAAGACUAAUAGCUAUAAAAAUGGAUUCAUGCUGAAGGCCUGGCAAGCCUUUCUCAAGUCAAUGGGCGAUCACUGGUGUUCAGGUGCCAUAGUGAGGGAAGGCACUAGACUGCAUUCUCUUUUUAUUUGGCCACUAACUGGCUGUGUGCUCUGGAGCAAAUCACUUACACUCUCUCUGCUUCAUUGUCUUCAUUUGUAGAAGAGGGUGUGGGACUAGACGGCCGCUAAGAACCCUUCUACCUCUGACAUGACACAGGAUGGGCGCUAGUCAAGGCCUGGGGCAAAGUUUGUUUGUUAAACAUUCUCUCCUGCUGUCUUUCUGCCAGGUGGCCUUUUUUCAUAGAGAGUGUCAACUUCUUAAUUAGUAGGUUUCAAAACAUGAAGAAGACAAAGCUUUACUGUACAUUUGGGAAGAAUGAAAGUUUACCUUUUAGAGCAAAGAAAUAGAGCUUGCUUAGGAGUCUAACUGAAGGAAGUCGCACCUCCACAAAAGUGAAAUGGAAGCAAGGUCGUGAAAAUCUGGGACUCUGCAAGCAAAGAACAAGUACUGUGUUGGUAUUUUAAAAAAGAUUUUCCUUCCAUUUGCAACACCUUUGUGCUUCUUUUGUGGAUUUCUCCAUCUUUUUCAGUUCUACACUGAGCUAUUUUAAGACUGUUUUCCUUCCAUACAGUAAUACUGUUCAGAUAGGCAAUUUAAUUGUCAUCACACUUUUCCUUAGUCUUUCAAGACCUUUCAUUAUGGUGAAAUAAUUUUAGGCACACCAAGGACAAAUCCAUUAAAUACUUUCCUUAUUUCACUAAUGAACUAUUGUGGGUGGUAAAAAUUAAUUUCAUUCCACCCAUGAUACAUAUCUGUUCAAUUUUUAUCCUUGAGAAGUGAAGAUAGCAAAUAACUGAAGUCAAAUGAGAGUCUCCUCUUAUAAUGUUAAGUCUGUUGUUUCAUUUAUACCAAGAUGUAUCCGAAGGAAAAUCUAUAAAAAUAUGUCACAAAAUGAAAAGGGUUCAAUAGGUCCAAUCUCAGGGUUGAUGUUGCAAAUGUUUUUACAGGCUGGAUAUGCUUAGGAACUGGAAGGCCCCCGUGUUAAUGGAUUGGAAGACUCUUCUGAGCAGAUGUGUUUAAGCUCAUCCCAAUGGGCAGAUCAGACAUUAGCACACUUGCUUAAAGCACAGUCCUGAUGAUACCAAGGCCCUGGAUUGAAUGGCCAUAUAGCUCAGCCAGUAUUGCUCAAUUCCAGAGCUCAGGCUGUAGCCCUCACACUUCUCUGCCAUUUCACAUUUUGCACACCCCAUGGAAGGUCACAAAUGAGAAGGGUAGAGGAUGUGGAUGGAGUCAGGCAAACUAUGCCCCACAGCAUGGAAAGGAACUCCAUAAGCUCUACUAACUGAGAGCCAGGGAAGGCACUUUGACAUGCGAGGGACAACGCAUUAUAGCAAUGACAGGUCAGACCCAUCAACUCUGGUUGGAAGGUGUGUAGAAAAGGAAAACAGAAAUUAUCCACAUCACACUGCUGACAAUUAUGAUCCCAUUGCUAGGGGGUAUGGGGGAUGUGGCUUCAGAGAAAAAGGGCAAAAGCCAGAGUUCUCUUUAGGCAGACAGUACAAGGGUCACAAGCAAGAAAGGUCCAAGUCCUGUCCCUGAAGAUGAGUAUUUCCAGAACUACCAAGGACCCUGACAAAUGGGAAAUUGGGAUUGACUAGUAAGAGCUUCCUUAUUUACAAUCAGUCCCUUCCAGAGCCAGCUCUGAUUUACUUAAAUUACUGUCAGCGCCUUAGGUAGGAGGAGCGGCAUGCUGGUUUCUCUUUAGUCAGAUUUAAUUCCAGUUUCUGCCUUUAAAUGUGUGCAGACUGCUCUAGAGGGUUUCAUGAGCCUGGUGCUCUAAUCCUGCUGCCCUCUCUCCUUUAUCUCUUAUUCUUGAGUUUCCAUUUCUCUCCUCCUUUCUUUCUACACCCCAAAUGAUAGAUGAGAGGACACAAUAAUCAAUGACAGCAAAAAAGACGACAGUCUGAAAGAAGACCAACAAAAAUCCCCAAAUUCAUGUACUGUGGCCUGAAGUAAUUACUAAGGAGAGUCUGAUGGAGGUCGUUCUGAUGCUGAGUUUAGGGCUUAACAUGACCAGGAAGAUCAGCAACGACUUUAAAGGAAAAAUGGAGAACAGGAGAAUGACAAGGCAGUUAUUUUUUUCAGUCUGUAAAAAUAAGAUUUGAUUGUACUUCCAUACACACACACACACACAACCUGAUACUUUUAUUUUUUAUAUAUUAAGUGGCAGUGGGCCAUGAAAGACCGCAGAGAAUUAUAAGUGGAGUCUGCCUCAAAAAAACACAUCUCUCUCCUCAAGUGACAGUAAAUUGGAUAAAUGCUAUUUUUAGAUGAAAUAUAUCUAACUAAUGUCCAGAUGUGAUUCUACCACAUGAAGAGAAAAACAAAUCUAUCUAAAGCACUGAGCUGUACUUGAAAACAUUUUUUUUACAUUUCUGGUAUGAAUAAUUUACAGUGGAAAGACUUAGACAAGAGGUACUGACCAUCAGCCACUGCAGCAGUUCCCUUGGGAACAACAUCUGCACACAUGGUUUCAACAUGGAGAUCUUCCCAAGGUUUACAUUCCUGAUUUAAUUGUUACUAACGCUCUGGGUAUGCAACUUGUCAGCAGUAUAUUUCCACAUGAGCAUAAAGGAAUGAGGAGAGAGGAACAUGCAUAUCAGGAUUUCUGUGCUAAGCCAGUGGGGGUCCUCUAACGGCUGUCACCUUGAGAGGUCAUCUGCUUGUUCAAAUGCUGCUGCUUUUGCUCCAGACAUUCUUGGAAGUCCUCCUACUCAUUCAUUCAACAAAUAUUUAUUAAGCACCUACAAUUUUCCAAGCUGAGCAUAAAGUGAUGAGCAGAGCAAACAGCCCAGACCCCUGCUUAUAGUCUAACGGAAUUUCUUUUGGAGCCCAGAUUACAAGUUACAAAAGAAAAUCAAUCUUAUUAGUUUAGUGAUACAAAUAGUGGUGUCGUGUUUGAUCACAGUCUUCAUUAUUGUGCAUGACCCUAAAUAAUGUCUGGCCAUUUGAAAAGAAGUCAACCCCUGAGAUAUAGUCACUGAAGAUAUUCAAAAUAAUGUGAUACAGGCUUUAAGAGAAGAGUUACAAAUAAAUUAUUGGGCAAUGACAUCAUCACUGGAAGAAAGGCCUGGCCUUUCCAAGUGACUCAUUCUGCAGUCUAUGCUCCUACAAGGGAAUAAAGACAUCCUGCCCAGGGACAGCAGCAAGGUGGCAGGGAGGAAGCAGGCAUGGCAGAAAACUAGGUGGACCAAGCCCAAUCCAAGUGCAGACAGGUGAUCAAAUCCCUGGAUAGAGGAGGGAGUGAAGCUCUUAGUGGGGAAAGAGGCAUCAAAUGAGGGCAGUGUCAGAAGAAUUGAGCCCAGAUGGUUGGAGAACCUUGGCCAAGUGUGUAAGAAUCCAUCCAAAAAGUGGAUGAGAAAGCGCAGGAACUAGGUCUGCAGCCAGGGCACCAAAGCCCAGGAGAACAGAAAUAUCCAGGUUACCCAAAACAAUCUGGCUGUUAGGAGGUGGAGAGCUGAUGUGGCCUCAUCUAGGGCUAGAGAAGGAAGUGGCUGGGCAGCAUGGCUUCAUGGUGCCACGGAAGUAUCUGGCACUUCUACUGCUGGUAGGAGCAACCACAACUACUUAAAAACCUUCAAGACUGGUUGGCCCUUCCUUUGGCCCAAGAUGAUGAAGAAGCCUAAGGAUAACUAUGUACUCAUUAUGGACAGUCAAUAAGGGGUUGAGAUGGAACAGGGACUAAUGACUUCAUCUGACACGAUUUCUUAAAUAUCCAGUAGCCAUCUAAAGAUACAUAUAUUCAAAAAGGUCCUCUUUUCAUAAUUGACAAAUCAUAUGCACUGUUUCGCAGUUUGAGUGGGUUUUUCUUGAGCAUUCGAGAUGGAUUUGCAUGUAGCCCUAUCAACUCUCCCACUCCAAAUCUCUCACAAAUAGCCCACUCUGGAGAGAAGUUUAGCUGCAACCUACAGUGUGCCUUGUAGGCAUGAAAUAGAGCUGAUCCAACUGAUGAAGAUAUCAGUCCUGCAACAUCAGUUUCACUCACAUUAUACUCCACAACUAAACUAACCAGAUAGCCAGAGUUUGCUUACUUUCCCUUCUCAAGAGCCACCCCAUCGGGAUAAUCUUUUAAGCCUAGCAGAUCAGAAAUACACUUAUCCCAUGCUUGGCACUUUGGUUAAUGCUGUUCCCCUGUAAGGAUGCUACUGGAGUUUCUCUCUUGAUCUCCACCCCAAGGCCCUGCUUAGACCAGUGGUUUGAAAAUAUAUGUCUAUGGGAUGGCCUGGUGGGUGAGAACCAGGCUUCCUCAACUUUGAUAUUAUACUCUUUAUUUUUAAAAUCAGUUUUUCUAAACUGGUCUCCAUGCAAGAUUUUGUUUGGUAAAACAAAAAGAUUGGUGGAGGGCCUAUUAUAUAUUUAUUUCUUAAAAGAAGGAGGGGACUUCGAAUCACUGUUCUAGACCAAGGGUCAGUAGUCAUUUUAACUACAUGUGAGAUGAACAGGGCUAGACAAUGGGGUAAGAAAAUUUCUUCCAUGGCCUGUUAAGCCAAAGGCAUAGACAAGAAAGAAAAGAAAGUUGGAAAUACAAAAAAGGAAAAAGAAAGGAGAGGGACGUCAGAGAAAGAAAAAGAUCAGCUGCUGCAGUAAUGGUUUGGGGGCCAUUUUUCCCAGAAAAUGCACACAUACACAUAUUUACCUAAUACUUUGCAAACAAUCUAUAGGGCUCUGUGGUGUGAAGUCCUUCACCUAGGGACCCAGGUUGGAACACACCAUGGGAAGGCAUCAACCCACAGCACUGACCUUAGGUUACCCCAUCCAUGACAUAGGAUGCCUGCUGUGAAGGCAAAAAUCUGGAUUCUUGAUUUUUCUUUAAUAUUUCUCUGAUCAUUUUACCUAAUGCUCCUCAUAUGGAUGCUAUGAAUCACAUCCAAAGUUUUGAACAUGUGCUUUCAAAUAUUUUACUCAGGAUCCUCAUCUGAUUUAAUAACCUCUAUUGACUACUCUCCAAUCCAUAUCUUUGGAUCUCUAAUCAGAAGAAAUAAUGUAAUUGUCAGUUUCAAGUAAAGUCCACCUCUUGCCAAAUGUGUUCCAAUAGUUGUCAUUGACAGCUCCCCUUGGAAGCACAAACAACUGAGGUUUUUGCUGCAGACAUCCAAAAUUAUUUGGUUAUUUUAAUAGCAAUAGUCUCCUGGUAUCAUCCUUAAACCUGUCUUACUCCCUUAGGCCUUGAUAGCUGCUGACACUGAAACUUUUAAUUAGCCUUUUAGUUAGAACCUUAACACGAAGUAAUCCACCAAGUCCAUACCCUAUCAUGCUUGAUCAUUACCCAAAAUAAUCAUUGCCUUUCUGGCCAUCCAUCCUCUCUUGCACUAACAAAGGAAAGUUUAAUUCCAGCCUAGAAUUUUCCUUCUGAGUUCGAGCCUCACAUAUCCAAUGGCUUACUAAAUCACCACUUAGAUGUCCCAAAGACACCUUAAACUCAACAUUCCUAAAGCUGGACUCUUCUUUCAUCCAGAUCUACUCCUCUACUUAUCUACGUGCACUCACCACCAGACACACAGUGCUUAAGACAAAGAAAUUUUGACUUCUUCCUUCUUCUUGACUCUCACAUCCAAUAGGUGUGAAAGUCUUAAUGAUUUCCCCACCUUCAUAGCUAAGCACUUUAGUUCAGGUCUUCUUCAUCUUCCUUCCGGAUUACUGUAACAAUCUAAUUGGCCUUCCUAAUUCCACUUUUAGCCUCUCUCCCCCUAGUCUGUUGCCAAUGACCUUUCAAAAUUACAAAUCUGACCUUUUAACCAUUUCUACUUAAAAUCCAUCAAUAGAUGCCCCUUGCCUUCAAAAUACAAACCAAAGUCCUUAGCAUGGAAUUCAGUGUUCUCAUAAGCUGUCCUGUGUUGCCCUCCACUCCCCCAGGCAAGCACCAAAAGGUUGGGCCCAGUAAACCACGUGCUAUUCCUCUGAACUACGGCCUUCCCCUCUUGGCCAUCCUUCUUCCCUUACUUAACACCUACUCAUUCUUCAAAAAUAUAUGGAAUAUUAAUGCUGGCACUAUUUUGGUGCUGUACACAUAUAUUAUAAUUUUUAAUGACUGUAUAAGUAGAGUAGACCCCUACCCCUAGUCCAGCUCCUUAGAAGUAACAAAUGUUAACCUGCUUCUUGUGUAACCGUCCAGAAAUUUUUAUGACUGGAAAUAUAUGUGCAUAUAUGCUUUCCCCUAACAGAUGGGCUCCUAAUAUACAUACUUUUCUGCAAUUUGUUUUUUUCCUUAAGACUACAUCUUAGACAUUUUUUUACAUCAGUACAUGUAGAUCUGCAUAAUUUUUUUUGUAGAAAUAAAUCUAUGUAUACUAUAUUCACAUUUUCAUAUAAACGAAUAAAACUCACUGUUUAAAGGUUAGAAAGUCAUUCUGGGGGGGAAAAAGUCUAGCUAUAUGCCAUUUAUAAGAGAAACACCUAAAACAUGAUGCAGAAAGAUUAAAAGUCAAGGGAUUCAUUGAAUAAAAUAAGAAUACAUGAGUUCAUAUGUGUGUGUCUGUAAGUAAAUAAAUGGAGGGGAAGGGAAAUUCCUGCCUUACAGAAGAAAGCCAACAGAUAAACAUGAAAGGAAUGACGGAAGUAGAAAAUUGCCAUUUGGCAACCGUCAUAGUAAUAAUUGAUUCAAGCAAGAAUCAUUAAUUUUUACUAAAACUAGAGGGUAAAAACUUGAGUAAGAGCAUAUUUAUAAUUGUCUCAAAAUCUCUCCACAAGAGAUAAUGAUAUAAAUUACAAAGGGAAAAUUGGUAGUUUUCCAAUAAAGCUCCUUGACAGGCACUACCUUAACCAAAUAAUUUAAAUCUGCACCACAAUUAAUGGGACCUAUUGACAUCAUCUGAUAUGAUGCACUAAGAAGGAGACAGCAUUACUUCUGGAGUAUUUCUUUCAAAAUGCAUAGCCUGACUAUAAUCAUGAGGAAACAUCAGACAAGCCCAAAUCGAGAGAUAUUCUACGAAAUAAACGGCCAGAACUUUCAAAAAUGUCAAGUUCAUGAAAGGCAAUAAAAGCACUGAGGAAGUAUUUCAGAUUAAAGGUGACUAAAGAGAUGUGACAACAGAAUGCAACCUGUGAUUCGGGACUUUCUUUUGCUACAAAGGACAUUCUUGGGACAAAUCCCAAUGACCUUUCAAAAUUACAACUCUGAUCUUGUAACCACUUCUUAAAAUCCUUCUAUAGGUGCCCCUUGCCUUCAAAAUAUAAACCAAACUCCUUGGCAUGGAAUUCAACACUCUGCGUAAACUGUCCCAUCUGUAAAUACUUCAGUAUCUAUCUCUAAGCCAUAACUUCACACCAGACUGGAUAUGGGAAAAAUAGGAGACUCAAACCGAGCCUGUGUACCAGGCCCCAUCACCUGGAUGUCGGAACCAUCAGGGUGCCUUUACUCCAGAUGAGCUGUGUUCUGGAUCUCUGAGGAUGGCCCUCAAGUGGCGGCAUUUUUAACCCUCCCUCCGGGUGAUUAGUGUGUGCAGUUGGCCCCUGCCAACCUCUCCAUUCUCUUCUCCCCGCCUCCACCCUUGAGCUCUGUGCAAUAAUAAACUGUAAUUUUGAGAACCCAGCUUCUUUACCAGCUGCCCCUGGGGGUUUGCCCUGCUCCAGCCUCUCCUUGGGCUGGCACCUGGCUCCUCUGGGCUCCUCGAGUGCUCCGGCAUCUCCACACGGGAUGGAUGUUUUCCAUCUUACGUGUUUGUCGUCUUCAACAGACACAGCUUCUCAACCAAUGAACAGUGUGGAUUGCACUGAAUCAGGGAUUCUGCAGUCUGGGAGGAGGGGGGCAAGCUGCCCCGGGGGUGGGAAUUCAAGAGAGGCCUCCUGGAGGGAGUGGCUUUUGGGCAGGGCCAUCUAAGCAGGGUGGGAUGUGUGGAGACCUGUAAUUGGGCCUGUGCCUACGUGAUUAGAGUCCUCUGAAUGCCUGAGGUGUUUGAUUUCUCUUCUCCACCCCUUUCCCCACUUUAAUUAAAACGUGAUCUUCUGCAUCUUGAGGGUGGGUUAGAGCAUGGUCUUUAGAGUCUGAGAAUACUGGGCUUUGUAUCUGUGUGGUCUGGGGCAAGUCAAUGGACCUCACUGACCUCAGGUUCCUCAUCAGAACUGGGAAUAACGGCGCUUCAUAGAGUUGCAGUAAGUGUUAAAUGGAAUAGUCUAGAUAGAGGCAACAGGGAACCAAUGAAGGUGAGCAGUUGAACAGUGGUGCUGAGGCAGGCUUGGAGUAGGGACCAAGCUGGAAGACUCUUUGUUAGGACAUCUGUCAUAUCCCAAGUAGCAAAAACAUUACUUGAGUAGCCAGCCCAUGGCCAAGUGGUUAAGUUCACACACUCCACUUCAGUGGCCCAGGGUUUCGCCGCUUCAGAUCCUGGCUGCGGACAUAACAUCGCUCAUCAAGCCGUGCUUGAUGCACACAGCACACAGCACAUAGCGCAACCACAGGAACUACAACCAGAAUAUACAACAGUGUACUGGGGGGCUUCAAGGAGAAGAUGAAGAAAAAAAAAAAGAUUGGCAACAGAUGUGAGCUCAGGUGCCAAUCUUUAAAAAAAAAAAUUAUAUCUUCUUUCAAAUAGCAGCUUCCCUCAUGGCUACGAUGAAUAUUUAUUAAAACACAAAAACAAGGGGGGCUGGC